rnacentral:rRNA from 1 species
UGAGGCGUGGCUUCCGGAGCUAACGCGUUAAGUCGACCGCCUGGGGAGUACGGCCGCAAGGUUAAAACUCAAAUGAAUUGACGGGGGCCCGCACAAGCGGUGGAGCAUGUGGUUUAAUUCGAUGCAACGCGAAGAACCUUACCUGGUCUUGACAUCCACGGAAGUUUUCAGAGAUGAGAAUGUGCCUUCGGGAACCGUGAGACAGGUGCUGCAUGGCUGUCGUCAGCUCGUGUUGUGAAAUGUUGGGUUAAGUCCCGCAACGAGCGCAACCCUUAUCCUUUGUUGCCAGCGGUCCGGCCGGGAACUCAAAGGAGACUGCCAGUGAUAAACUGGAGGAAGGUGGGGAUGACGUCAAGUCAUCAUGGCCCUUACGACCAGGGCUACACACGUGCUACAAUGGCGCAUACAAAGAGAAGCGACCUCGCGAGAGCAAGCGGACCUCAUAAAGUGCGUCGUAGUCCGGAUUGGAGUCUGCAACUCGACUCCAUGAAGUCGGAAUCGCUAGUAAUCGUGGAUCAGAAUGCCACGGUGAAUACGUUCCCGGGCCUUGUACACACCGCCCGUCACACCAUGGGAGUGGGUUGCAAAAGAAGUAGGUAGCUUAACCUUCGGGAGGGCGCUUACCACUUUGUGAUUCAUGACUGGGGUGAAGUCGUAACAAGGUAACCGUAGGGGAACCUGCGGUUGGAUCACCUCCUUACCUUAAAGAAGC